AAGUCCUGUCCGGGACAUCCACGAGGUUCUGCUGGUGACCGUCUUUGACGAGGACGGAGACAAAGCUCCAGACUUCUUGGGGAAAGUGGCCAUUCCUCUACUCUCGAUCCGAAGUAGGCAGCAGAUCAUCAUGCCCCUGAAGAAGGACGACCUGGGCAGCCUCAUCAAAGGCAACAUCACGCUGGAGCUGGAGAUCAUUUACAAUCCCGUCCGAGCCAGCAUAAGAACAUUCCAACCCCGGGAGAUAAAAUUCAUGGAAGAUAAUC